rnacentral:rRNA from 1 species
CAGCAGUGGGGAAUAUUGCACAAUGGGCGCAAGCCUGAUGCAGCCAUGCCGCGUGUAUGAAGAAGGCCUUCGGGUUGUAAAGUACUUUCAGCAGUGAGGAAGGUGGGUAUGUUAAUAGCAUAUUCAUUUGACGUUAGCUGCAGAAGAAGCACCGGCUAACUCCGUGCCAGCAGCCGCGGUAAUACGGAGGGUGCGAGCGUUAAUCGGAAUUACUGGGCGUAAAGCGCAUGCAGGUGGUUUGUUAAGUCAGAUGUGAAAGCCCGGGGCUCAACCUCGGAAUUGCAUUUGAAACUGGCAAACUAGAGUACUGUAGAGGGGGUAGAAUUUCAGGUGUAGCGGUGAAAUGCGUAGAGAUCUGAAGGAAUACCGGUGGCGAAGGCGGCCCCCUGGACAGAUACUGACACUCAGAUGCGAAAGCGUGGGGAGCAAACAGGAUUAGAUACCCGGGUAG